UCGUAUUCGGGUCUGUGGUUGCAAACCGAAGCCAGACGCGGGCAAAACGGUCCACGUAAGUUGAGCUAUGUCUCAAUGAGCAUGGCGCGUUCUAGAAGUAAGACCGACCAACAGAAAAGUUGAGAGAAGGGGCGUAGGGCGCUCUUGCGAUGAGCAAACCUUCCUGUCGGCGAGUGUGGGGGCAAAAACCAGGUCAGCCGAUGCGA
rnacentral:ncRNA from 12 species